rnacentral:rRNA from 1 species
UACGAACUGUGCGAACGUUAUUCGGAAUCACUGGGCUUACAGGGCGCGUAGGCGGGCUCUUAAGUCAGGGGUGAAAGCCCAAGGCUCAACCUUGGAAUUGCCUUUGAUACUGAGGGCCUUGAGACCGGAAGAGGUCGGCGGAACUGCGAGUGUAGAGGUGAAAUUCGUAGAUAUUCGCAAGAACACCAGUGGCGAAGGCGGCCGACUGGUCCGGUUCUGACGCUGAGGCGCGAAAGCGUGGGGAGCAAACAGG